rnacentral:rRNA from 1 species
UACGGAGGAUGCAAGCGUUAUCCGGAAUGAUUGGGCGUAAAGCGUCCGCAGGUGGCUAUGUAAGUCUGCUGUUAAAGAGCAAGGCUCAACCUUGUAAAGGCAGUGGAAACUACAUGGCUAGAGUGCGUUCGGGGCAGAGGGAAUUCCAGGUGUAGCGGUGAAAUGCGUAGAUAUUGGGAGGAACACCAGUGGCGAAGGCGGCUCACUGGACCGGUACUGACGCUGAGGCACGAAGGCCAGGGGAGCAAACGGG